AUCCCUUACACUAAAACCAAAAACGUGCUCAAAAUAUAAAAGAUCAAACUAACUAAAAGAGAAAUUCGAAAGUAAACUAUGAAUAUGACUUUGGAGUCUUUAGGCGUCCCCUUCGUCGUCUUCUUGCGGAACGGGCUCGGGAACAAUGUCUUCCUAAUCUGAAAUGAUUAAAUAAGGAAUGAGCUACACUAACCCAGUAAGGACAUCACGAUAUCUCACCGUCACGGAGAUAAAGGUGGGUAGAAAACACAAAAAGACCAAUGGAGCAUAAUUUACAAUAAACUCAUUUAUCAGUAAUAAAACCUUUUACCAUUCACUUACCUCGGUGAAAUUCAUAAAACAAUAUACGAAAGCAAUAACAUUAUCAUCAUCAUGAAAUCAUAUAAACUGUGUAACAUAAUACUUAUCACGCCUUUGCAAUUCAAUCAUUUCACAAUUACUUUUCCUCAUUCACCAGCCUACUAGUAUCCAUGGGGAUCCAUAGGGGUCCCGCUACCCGUUACCCUUAAUACUUGUAAUCAGAUUCCAGGGCCGUCCCCAUACCCCGUCCGGUAUGGGCGCCAAAACUGUAAACCUCAAUACCCCGUCCGGUAUGAGGGUGAAACGGGUCGUCCCCAUACCCCAUCCGGUAUGGGUGCCAAAACACAUAAGAUCUCCAUACCCCGUCUGGUAUGAGAGACCACAAUCCCGGUAGGGUCCCCUACGGACCCGGUCCGUCCACCAUCUCCCAGGAUAUCUAGUCAGGCUGACCCCAUUACACAAUUAUCAAUUUAUACAAUCUUCUAUUCUUCUUUCCCUCAAUCAGCAUCAUCAAUUCGCAUUUAGAUAAGCAAAACAGUAAUUCAUGCCAAACAAACAACAUACAGUAUCG
rnacentral:lncRNA from 1 species